rnacentral:rRNA from 1 species
CAGUCGCCGCGGGAAUACGGAGGGUGCAAGCGUUAAUCGGAAUUACUGGGCGUAAAGCGCACGCAGGCGGUUUGUUAAGUCAGAUGUGAAAUCACCGAGCUUAACUUGGGAACUGCAUUUGAAACUGGCAAGCUAGAGUCUUGUAGAGGGGGGUAGAAUUCCAGGUGUAGCGGUGAAAUGCGUAGAGAUCUGGAGGAAUACCGGUGGCGAAGGCGGCCCCCUGGGCAAAGACUGACGCUCAGGUGCGAAAGCGUGGGGAGCAAACAGGAUUAGAUACCCGGGUAGUCCCUGUCUCUUAUAC